rnacentral:rRNA from 2 species
GUUAAAAGGAAGAGUUAGCUUCGGCGAAGCCCUGAAUUGAAGCCCCAGUAAACGGCGGCCGUAACUAUAACGGUCCUAAGGUAGCGAAAUUCCUUGUCGGGUAAGUUCCGACCCGCACGAAAGGCGUAACGAUCUGGCACUGUCUCAACGAGAGACUCGGUGAAAUUGAAUUGCCUGUGAAGAUGCAGGCUACCCGCGACAGGACGGAAAGACCCCAUGGAGCUUUACUGUAGCUUGAUAUUGAGUGCUUGUACUGCUUGUACAGGAUAGGUAGGAGCCAUAGAAGCCAGGACGCUAGUUUUGGCAGAGGCGUUGGUGGGAUACUACCCUUGCAUUAUGAUCACUCUAACCCGCACCACUGAUCGUGGUGGGAGACAGUGUCAGGURGGCAGUUUGACUGGGGCGGUCGCCUCCCAAAAGAUAACGGAGGCGCCCAAAGGUUCGCUCAGAAUGGUUGGAAAUCAUUCGCAGAGUGUAAAGGCACAAGCGAGCUUGACUGCGAGACAGACAGGUCGAGCAGGGACGAAAGUCGGGCUUAGUGAUCCGGUGGUUCCGCAUGGAAGGGCCAUCGCUCAACGGAUAAAAGCUACCCUGGGAUAACAGGCUUAUCUCCCCAAGAGUCCACAUCGACGGGGAGGUUUGGCACCUCGAUGUCGGCUCAUCGCAUCCUGGGGCUGUAGUCGGUCCCAAGGGUUGGGCUGUUCGCCCAUUAAAGCGGUACGCGAGCUGGGUUCAGAACGUCGUGAGACAGUUCGGUCCCUAUCCGUCGCGGGCGUAGGAAAUUUGAGAGGACCUGUCCUUAGUACGAGAGGACCGGGAUGGACAUACCGCUGGUGUACCAGUUGUUCCGCCAGGAGCAUCGCUGGGUAGCUAUGUAUGGAUGAGAUAAACGCUGAAAGCAUCUAAGCGUGAAACUCGCCUCAAGAUGAGAUUUCCCAUUCCUUAUGGAAGUAAGACCCCUCAGAGAUGAUGAGGUAGAUAGGAUGGAAGUGGAAGUGCCGCGAGGCAUGGAGCGGACCAUUACUAAUCGGUCGAGGACUUAACCAAGUU